UACGUAGGGUGCAAGCGUUGUCCGGAAUUAUUGGGCGUAAAGAGCUCGUAGGCGGUUUUGUCGCGUCUGCUGUGAAAACCCGAGGCUCAACCUCGGGCCUGCAGUGGGUACGGGCAGACUAGAGUGCGGUAGGGGGAGAUUGGAAUUCCUGGUGUAGCGGUGGAAUGCGCAGAUAUCAGGAGGAACACCAAUGGCGAAGGCAGAUCUCUGGGCCGUAACUGACGCUGAGGAGCGAAAGCAUGGGGAGCGAGCAGG
rnacentral:rRNA from 1 species